UACGAAGGGGGCUAGCGUUGCUCGGAAUUACUGGGCGUAAAGCGCACGUAGGCGGCUUCUUAAGUCGGUGGUGAAAUCCUGGAGCUCAACUCCAGAACUGCCUUCGAUACUGGGAAGCUCGAGUCCGGGAGAGGUGAGUGGAACUGCGAGUGUAGAGGUGAAAUGCGCAGAUAUCAGGAAGAACACCCGUGGCGAAGGCGGCUUUCUGGGACGGUACUGACGCUGAGACGCGAAAGCGUGGGGAGCGAACAGG
rnacentral:rRNA from 1 species